rnacentral:misc_RNA from 1 species
CUCCGAGUUGACCCCGGCAGUCUCCUAUGAGUCCCCACCAUGACGUGCUGGCAACAUAGAACGAGGGUUGCGCUCGUUGCGGGACUUAACCCAACAUCUCACGACACGAGCUGACGACAGCCAUGCACCACCUGUGCAUUUGCCCCGAAAGGCUGCCGUGUUUCCACGACAUUCAAAUGCAUGUCAAGCCUUGGUAAGGUUCUUCGCGUUGCGUCGAAUUAAACCACAUGCUCCGCUGCUUGUGCGGGCCCCCGUCAAUUCCUUUGAGUUUCAGCCUUGCGGCCGUACUCCCCAGGCGGGGCACUUAACAUAUUAACUCCGACAGUGACGGCAUCGGACCUCCACUGCCUAGUGCCCAUCGUUUACAGCUAGGACUAC